UCAAAUUAGUUAACUGUACUUUUCUACACAAAUAUAGAGUGUAAUGAACUUGUUAAGCAGAGAUUACUAAAGAUAUUAUGUUUUUGAAGUGAAGGGGCGGGGCAUAUUCAAACUCAGUCCUGCUGCAACAUGCACCGUGGCAAGUUCAACGACUCCUGACUGGUCCGUGUGAAGAUGCAGUGGAAGUGCAAAUACUGAUUCUUUGAGAGCUUUGGAGUGGACAAGUUCUGCAGGUUCUGCAUGGCAACGAGGAGUGAGAUCCAAGACAAGGAGAUGGCAGCACACCAGAAGAUGACCUUGAGAGUAAUUUUCACAGAGACAGAUAUAAGAAAGGUUGUUCUGAAUACAAGACCUACUACAGUGGAGGAUUUGAUAGGCAAGCUUAAAGAAUCACUGGGACUUAA